GACGAACGCUGGCGGCGUGCUUAACACAUGCAAGUCGAACGGAAAGGCCCUGCUUUUGUGGGGUGCUCGAGUGGCGAACGGGUGAGUAACACGUGAGUAACCUGCCCUUGACUUUGGGAUAACUUCAGGAAACUGGGGCUAAUACCGGAUAGGAGCUCCUGCUGCAUGGUGGGGGUUGGAAAGUUUCGGCGGUUGGGGAUGGACUCGCGGCUUAUCAGCUUGUUGGUGGGGUAGUGGCUUACCAAGACUUUGACGGGUAGCCGGCCUGAGAGGGUGACCGGCCACAUUGGGACUGAGAUACGGCCCAGACUCCUACGGGAGGCAGCAGUGGGGAAUAUUGCACAAUGGGCGGAAGCCUGAUGCAGCAACGCCGCGUGCGGGAUGACGGCCUUCGGGUUGUAAACCGCUUUCGCCUGUGACGAAGCGUGAGUGACGGUAAUGGGUAAAGAAGCACCGGCUAACUACGUGCCAGCAGCCGCGGUGAUACGUAGGGUGCGAGCGUUGUCCGGAUUUAUUGGGCGUAAAGGGCUCGUAGGUGGUUGAUCGCGUCGGAAGUGUAAUCUUGGGGCUUAACCCUGAGCGUGCUUUCGAUACGGGUUGACUUGAGGAAGGUAGGGGAGAAUGGAAUUCCUGGUGGAGCGGUGGAAUGCGCAGAUAUCAGGAGGAACACCAGUGGCGAAGGCGGUUCUCUGGGCCUUUCCUGACGCUGAGGAGCGAAAGCGUGGGGAGCGAACAGGCUUAGAUACCCUGGUAGUCCACGCUGUAAACGGUGGGUACUAGGUGUGGGGUCCAUUCCACGGGUUCCGUGCCGUAGCUAACGCUUUAAGUACCCCGCCUGGGGAGUACGGCCGCAAGGCUAAAACUCAAAGGAAUUGACGGGGCCCCGCACAAGCGGCGGAGCAUGCGGAUUAAUUCGAUGCAACGCGUAGAACCUUACCUGGGUUUGACAUGGAUCGGGAGUGCCCAGAGAUGGGUGUGCCUCUUUUGGGGUCGGUUCACAGGUGGUGCAUGCCUGUCGUCAGCUCGUGUCGUGAGAUGUUGGGUUAAGUCCCGCAACGAGCGCAACCCCUGUUCACUGUUGCCAGCACGUUAUGGUGGGGACUCAGUGGAGACCGCCGGGGUCAACUCGGAGGAAGGUGGGGAUGACGUCAAGUCAUCAUGCCCCUUAUGUCCAGGGCUUCACGCAUGCUACAAUGGCUGGUACAGAGAGUGGCGAGCCUGUGAGGGUGAGCGAAUCUCGGAAAGCCGGUCUCAGUUCGGAUUGGGGUCUGCAACUCGACCUCAUGAAGUCGGAGUCGCUAGUAAUCGCAGAUCAGCAACGCUGCGGUGAAAAAGUUCCCGGG
rnacentral:rRNA from 1 species